UACGAAGGGGGCUAGCGUUGUUCGGAUUUACUGGGCGUAAAGCGCACGUAGGCGGAUCGAUCAGUCAGGGGUGAAAUCCCAGGGCUCAACCCUGGAACUGCCUUUGAUACUGUCGAUCUGGAGUAUGGAAGAGGUGAGUGGAAUUCCGAGUGUAGAGGUGAAAUUCGUAGAUAUUCGGAAGAACACCAGUGGCGAAGGCGACUCACUGGACACGUAUUGACGCUGAGGUGCGAAAGCGUGGGGAGCAAACAGG
rnacentral:rRNA from 1 species